GACGAACGCUGGCGGCGUGCUUAACACAUGCAAGUCGAACGGAAAGGCCUGCUUUCCCUUGUGGAUUGCGGGUACUCGAGUGGCGAACGGGUGAGUAACACGUGAGUGAUCUGCCCCCAACUUGGGUAUAAGCCUGGGAAACUGGGUCUAAUUACCGAUAGGACUGCAGGGUGGUGCCUGUGGUGGAAAACGAUUUUCUAGUGGUUGGGGAUGAGCUCGCGGCCUAUCAGCUUGUUGGUGGGGCAAUGGCCUACCAAGGCGGCGACGGGUAGCCGGCCUGAGAGGGUGGACGGCCACAUUGGGACUGGGAUACGGCCCAUACGCCUACGGGAGGCAGGAGUGGGGAAUAUUGCGGAGUGGGCGGAAGCCUGAUGCAGCGACGCCGCGUGGGGGAUGACGGCCUUCGGGUUGUAAACUCCUUUCGACCGCGAGGAAGCCACCUGGUUGGAAGGGUGGUGACGGUAGUGGUAGAAGAAGCACCGGCUAACUACGUG
rnacentral:rRNA from 1 species